rnacentral:rRNA from 1 species
UGGGCAACCUGCCCCCAGCUCUGGGAUAACUCCAAGAAAUUGGGGCUAAUACCGGAUACUCCGGCUGGAUCGCAUGGUCCGGCCGGGAAAGGUCCGCCGGAGAGGGAUGGGCCCGCGGCCUAUCAGCUUGUUGGUGGGGUAAUGGCUCACCAAGGCGACGACGGGUAGCCGGCCUGAGAGGGUGACCGGCCACACUGGGACUGAGACACGGCCCAGACUCCGUACGGGA